rnacentral:lncRNA from 1 species
CACAAAUAAUUUUUUUAAAUGAAAAGUGAAAUUUAAUGCUGAUUCUGUUCAAAUAUUAACAGUUUAAAAAAUGGCCAGUGAUCUUGUAUUUCAAGACUAAAAAUGACGAUAAACAACUAUUAUGCAUGAUUCAAAUUUAAUGAUAUAGAUUGCUGUAUAUUGGCCAAUCUUCCAUCAGAUGAAAUAAAACUGAUGCUUGAGACUGAAAGCAUCCAAAUCUGGCUCAUCUAUCAACUAAAAGUUUGACCUAGGUGUCAGCAGUAAUAAUAGCAAGUUGUAGAGAAUUGCUCUAGCCAUCCAGUCCGUGACCAAGAAUUCAAUGAAAACAAAAAACAAAAGUGGAUUUAAUAAAUUAAGAUAUUUAUUAGUCACAUUUUGAGGGAAUAGUUCUUCAUCUCACAUAGUAGAAUUGAUGUGAAUCGAGGGACCCAAAACAGGGAUCAUGGCAGAACUUAUGAUCAGGUAUAAAGAGCAACAGAUCAUCCCUUGAUUCUUAUAUCAAGUAGUAUACUAGAUAUGCUAACAACAUAUAGAUAUGGAAAGAAAAACAUAAUGAAAAUGACCCGAUGGAAUUUAUUGAUGCAUCUUUGGGCCUAUGGUUAUAAUGUGACCAGGUAUCAUUGACAAAUGUCCAUUUUUUUGAUGCUGUUUAGAUAUAUCAGGAUCUAACUAUAAGAUUACUAUGUAUAGGAAGCCAUUAUACUCUCCAGUCCUCAUUUCAGCUUGGUCCCAGGAUCUGUCUCCGUAUAAAAGCAUUCAGGCAUUUUUCAAGAGAAUCAGUACUUACUGCAAUACAGCCAAUGUGAAAUGAGAGGAAUUUGUUAAUAUAAUAACACAGGAUAUGAGACAUUUAGGUACAUGCAUAAUAUAUAUAAAUCCAUAUUAGAUAAGUUCAGGUGUGCCAUGUCACUAAAGUGUACAUUGUAGAUAACAAUGUUUGACCCCUCAAGAUGCAAUAGGGCUGUUCCAAUCACCUAUGAACCAAGCCUUAUGAGCUUUAGAACCGUAAAGAAGAAAACUAAUACAGCAGUGGCUUUUAAUCACCAAUCAGAGAGAAGGGUAUAUAAAUAGGAUUGCUAGAUUGCUGAAAAAAGAGAAUCCAAGAACAGAACCUGGAUAUGGCAUUAGGAAAUAUCACUACCACAUUAUCUAAUUUCUAUGAGGUGGAUUUAGAAGUAAAAUGGCAUGAGGUAAAGGUCCUUAAGUAUAUCACCAAUCCUAGAGAAAUGAGUACAGAUAGUCCUCAACUUGCAAUGAUUUACACUUAUGACAGCCAAAAAUUAUCACUAAAAAUUCUUCAAUUCAACUUUGCCAUCUGCAUAUACACACAGUUGAGCCUCGAUUUAACGAAUCAUGCGGGGUUG